CGUCGGAUUUGCGAAACCACCAAGAUAUAUUCAAAGGGGCAUCACCCUCGGACACCAAGCAUGUGAUUUGCGCCGACUGGCCGGAAUAUAUAGGCUCAUCAAACGCGAACGGGACAAUACGAGGAGGGCGAAGUAUGGACGAAAUGCAACAACGCAACACAAAAUAAUACAAUAAAAGUUCGACCACUGCUUCGAGCCUCUGCUGAUAAGUACGCGUCACAUGCUGAAAAACGUAGCGACCCGCGUAAAAUGCAAACCAAUUGUAAGUAUUAGGUACCGUGUACGU